rnacentral:rRNA from 1 species
CAAUAGCGUAUAUUAAAGUUGUUGCAGUUAAAAAGCUCGUAGUUGAAAUUUUGACCUUGUACUGUUGAUCCCAAUGGGUGAAGCAAUUCAGGUUAAUACACGCGGAAGAUGCAUCGCCCAUUAGUUUGGACGGUGAAGAAUCCGUGUAGUUUACUGUGAACAAAUUAGGGUGUUUAAGGCAAGCUUUAGUUUGAAUACAUUAGCAUGGAAUAAUAAGAUAUGAUUUUGAAAGUAUUUUGUUGGUGACAUUCGAAAUAAUGAUAAAUAGGAACAGUUGUGGGUAUUCGUAUGAGCAUGUCAGAGGUGAAAUUCUUGGAUUUUGAUCAGACGAACUACUGCGAAAGCAUUUACCAAGGAUGUUUUCAUUAA